rnacentral:rRNA from 1 species
GGAAUUUUGGGCAAUGGGCGAAAGCCUGACCCAGCAACGCCGCGUGAAGGAUGAAAUCCCUCGGGAUGUAAACUUCGCAAGAACGGGGAGAAUAAGCCGGUGUGAACAUCACCGGCGAUGACGGUACCGUUUGUAAGCUCCGGCUAACUCCGUGCCAGCAGCCGCGGUAAUACGUAGGGUGCGAGCGUUAAUCGGAAUUACUGGGCGUAAAGCGUACGCAGGCGGUCUCGUAAGACAGGUGUGAAAUCCCCGGGCUCAACCUGGGAACUGCGCUUGUGACUGCGAGGCUGGAGUGUGGCAGAGGGAGGUGGAAUUCCACGUGUAGUAGUGAAAUGCGUAGAGAUGUGGAGGAACACCGAUGGCGAAGGCAGCCUCCUGGGCCAACACUGACGCUCAUGCACGAAUGCGUGGGGAGCAAAC